rnacentral:rRNA from 1 species
GAUGAACGCUGGCGGCGUGCCUAAUACAUGCAAGUCGAGCGAACAGACGAGGAGCUUGCUCCUCUGACGUUAGCGGCGGACGGGUGAGUAACACGUGGAUAACCUACCUAUAAGACUGGGAUAACUUCGGGAAACCGGAGCUAAUACCGGAUAAUAUAUUGAACCGCAUGGUUCAAUAGUGAAAGACGGUUUUGCUGUCACUUAUAGAUGGAUCCGCGCCGGAUUAGCUAGUUGGUAAGGUAACGGCUUACCAAGGCAACGAUGCGUAGCCGACCUGAGAGGGUGAUCGGCCACACUGGAACUGAGACACGGUCCAGACUCCUACGGGAGGCAGCAGUAGGGAAUCUUCCGCAAUGGGCGAAAGCCUGACGGAGCAACGCCGCGUGAGUGAUGAAGGUCUUCGGGUCGUAAAACUCUGUUAUUAGGGAAGAACAAAUGUGUAAGUAACUAUGCACGUCUUGACGGUACCUAAUCAAAAAGCCACGGCUAACUACGUG